AGUGAACGCUGGCGGUAGGCCUAACACAUGCAAGUCGAACGGCAGCACAGUAAGUGCUUGCUCUUACGGGUGGCGAGUGGCGGACGGGUGAGGAAUACAUCGGAAUCUACUUUUUCGUGGGGGAUAACGUAGGGAAACUUACCCUAAUACCGCAUACGACCUACGGGUGAAAGCAUGGGAUCUUCGGACCUUGCGCGAUUGAAUGAGCCGAUGUCGGAUUAGUUAGUUGGCGGGGUAAAGGCCCACCAAGGCGACGAUCCGUAGCUGGUCUGAGAGGUUGAUCAGGCACACUGGAACUGAGACACGGUCCAGGCUCCUACGGGAGGGAGCAGUGGGGAAUAUUGGACAAUGGGCGGAAGCCUGAUCCAACCAUACCGCGUGGGUGAAGGAGGCCUUCGGGUUGUAAAGCCCUUUUGUUGGGGAAGAAAAGCAGCAGGUUAAUACCCCGCUGUUCUGAAGGUACCCAAAAAAUAAGCACCGGCUAACUUCGUG
rnacentral:rRNA from 1 species